rnacentral:rRNA from 1 species
UUAAGCGACUAAGCGUACACGGUGGAUGCCCUGGCAGUCAGAGGCGAUGAAGGACGUGCUAAUCUGCGAUAAGCGUCGGUAAGGUGAUAUGAACCGUUAUAACCGGCGAUUUCCGAAUGGGGAAACCCAGUGUGUUUCGACACACUAUCAUUAACUGAAUCCAUAGGUUAAUGAGGCGAACCGGGGGAACUGAAACAUCUAAGUACCCCGAGGAAAAGAAAUCAACCGAGAUUCCCCCAGUAGCGGCGAGCGAACGGGGAGCAGCCCAGAGCCUGAAUCAGUAUGUGUGUUAGUGGAAGCGUCUGGAAAGGCGCGCGAUACAGGGUGACAGCCCCGUACACAAAAAUGCACAUGCUGUGAGCUCGAUGAGUAGGGCGGGACACGUGGUAUCCUGUCUGAAUAUGGGGGGACCAUCCUCCAAGGCUAAAUACUCCUGACUGACCGAUAGUGAACCAGUACCGUGAGGGAAAGGCGAAAAGAACCCCGGCGAGGGGAGUGAAAAAGAACCUGAAACCGUGUACGUACAAGCAGUGGGAGCACGCUUAGGCGUGUGACUGCGUACCUUUUGUAUAAUGGGUCAGCGACUUAUAUUCUGUAGCAAGGUUAACCGAAUAGGGGAGCCGAAGGGAAACCGAGUCUUAACUGGGCGUUAAGUUGCAGGGUAUAGACCCGAAACCCGGUGAUCUAGCCAUGGGCAGGUUGAAGGUUGGGUAACACUAACUGGAGGACCGAACCGACUAAUGUUGAAAAAUUAGCGGAUGACUUGUGGCUGGGGGUGAAAGGCCAAUCAAACCGGGAGAUAGCUGGUUCUCCCCGAAAGCUAUUUAGGUAGCGCCUCGUGAAUUCAUCUCCGGGGGUAGAGCACUGUUUCGGCAAGGGGGUCAUCCCGACUUACCAACCCGAUGCAAACUGCGAAUACCGGAGAAUGUUAUCACGGGAGACACACGGCGGGUGCUAACGUCCGUCGUGAAGAGGGAAACAACCCAGACCGCCAGCUAAGGUCCCAAAGUCAUGGUUAAGUGGGAAACGAUGUGGGAAGGCCCAGACAGCCAGGAUGUUGGCUUAGAAGCAGCCAUCAUUUAAAGAAAGCGUAAUAGCUCACUGGUCGAGUCGGCCUGCGCGGAAGAUGUAACGGGGCUAAACCAUGCACCGAAGCUGCGGCAGCGACGCUGAUGCGUUGUUGGGUAGGGGAGCGUUCUGUAAGCCUGCGAAGGUGUGCUGUGAGGCAUGCUGGAGGUAUCAGAAGUGCGAAUGCUGACAUAAGUAACGAUAAAGCGGGUGAAAAGCCCGCUCGCCGGAAGACCAAGGGUUCCUGUCCAACGUUAAUCGGGGCAGGGUGAGUCGACCCCUAAGGCGAGGCCGAAAGGCGUAGUCGAUGGGAAACAGGUUAAUAUUCCUGUACUUGGUGUUACUGCGAAGGGGGGACGGAGAAGGCUAUGUUGGCCGGGCGACGGUUGUCCCGGUUUAAGCGUGUAGGCUGGUUUUCCAGGCAAAUCCGGAAAAUCAAGGCUGAGGCGUGAUGACGAGGCACUACGGUGCUGAAGCAACAAAUGCCCUGCUUCCAGGAAAAGCCUCUAAGCAUCAGGUAACAUCAAAUCGUACCCCAAACCGACACAGGUGGUCAGGUAGAGAAUACCAAGGCGCUUGAGAGAACUCGGGUGAAGGAACUAGGCAAAAUGGUGCCGUAACUUCGGGAGAAGGCACGCUGAUAUGUAGGUGAAGUCCCUCGCGGAUGGAGCUGAAAUCAGUCGAAGAUACCAGCUGGCUGCAACUGUUUAUUAAAAACACAGCACUGUGCAAACACGAAAGUGGACGUAUACGGUGUGACGCCUGCCCGGUGCCGGAAGGUUAAUUGAUGGGGUUAGCGCAAGCGAAGCUCUUGAUCGAAGCCCCGGUAAACGGCGGCCGUAACUAUAACGGUCCUAAGGUAGCGAAAUUCCUUGUCGGGUAAGUUCCGACCUGCACGAAUGGCGUAAUGAUGGCCAGGCUGUCUCCACCCGAGACUCAGUGAAAUUGAACUCGCUGUGAAGAUGCAGUGUACCCGCGGCAAGACGGAAAGACCCCGUGAACCUUUACUAUAGCUUGACACUGAACAUUGAGCCUUGAUGUGUAGGAUAGGUGGGAGGCUUUGAAGUGUGGACGCCAGUCUGCAUGGAGCCGACCUUGAAAUACCACCCUUUAAUGUUUGAUGUUCUAACGUUGACCCGUAAUCCGGGUUGCGGACAGUGUCUGGUGGGUAGUUUGACUGGGGCGGUCUCCUCCUAAAGAGUAACGGAGGAGCACGAAGGUUGGCUAAUCCUGGUCGGACAUCAGGAGGUUAGUGCAAUGGCAUAAGCCAGCUUGACUGCGAGCGUGACGGCGCGAGCAGGUGCGAAAGCAGGUCAUAGUGAUCCGGUGGUUCUGAAUGGAAGGGCCAUCGCUCAACGGAUAAAAGGUACUCCGGGGAUAACAGGCUGAUACCGCCCAAGAGUUCAUAUCGACGGCGGUGUUUGGCACCUCGAUGUCGGCUCAUCACAUAGGGGGGCUGCUCCUAGUACGAGAGGACCGGAGUGGACGCAUCACUGGUGUUCGGGUUGUCAUGCCAAUGGCACUGCCCGGUAGCUAAAUGCGGAAGAGAUAAGUGCUGAAAGCAUCUAAGCACGAAACUUGCCCCGAGAUGAGUUCUCCCUGACUCCUUGAGAGUCCUGAAGGAACGUUGAAGACGACGACGUUGAUAGGCCGGGUGUGUAAGCGCAGCGAUGCGUUGAGCUAACCGGUACUAAUGAACCGUGAGGCUUAACCUU